GGUCCUGUGGCCCAAUGGAUAAGGCGCCUGACUACGAAUCAGGAGAUUCCAGGUUCGAAUCCUGGCAGGAUCG
rnacentral:tRNA from 1 species